rnacentral:lncRNA from 1 species
UCUCUCUCUGGCGAACUCAUCUUCUUACUGAUAGUCUUCGACUCGAACGGUAUUUGCAGUUUUUUUCAUAUAUCUGUCAUGUCACUAUCACGAGCUGCUCGAAUCACCUAUCUGAGAUAUUUUUAUUCAUGUUUCUUACAUAUUCAUAUUUUAUGUGGAAAAAAAACAAGAGUAUCCAUGGAAAAGGUCAAACUGUGAUGUCAUCCCUACAGUGAUGAGACUUGACAUCCGACGUGCAUGAACAGCUUAAUAACAUUUCGAUGAUCAUUGUACCAGGAAAUAUGAUGACAUCACUUACUCGUAGAUGAUUGAAUUUUGGAUACGAUCAACGCGAUGCUGCAAACGCUUUGAAGUGUUUUUUAAUUGGUCAGUUUAUAAAAUUCUUUCUUCUAAAUGGUCCAUCAAAUGCUUCAAAGCAUUUUGACCAUAGCCUAACAAUUUAAAUGGAGCACUGAUAAGGAUCCAAAGCAGGAUCGAAAUGUUUGCGAUUAUAAUUAAUAAUUGUUAAUUUAAUCAACUAUUCUUGGAUCCAACGUACCUUAUGCGAUUUUUCACAAUGCUGUAACUUUUUUAUAAUAUAAUUUGAAGAUCCGGAUUGAGGCUGAAAAAACUAACUAUCCAUAGAUAUAAUAAGCCUGCAAGGAUUUUUUUUGCGUUAUUCUCGAUGUGAGAAUGCACGAAAGUUCAAAGAGAGUAUUUGGGAUCCACACGUGACUAGCUUGUAAAUUUUCGGCGUUCUGAGUAUCCCUUUAUUUUUUAUUAAAUAUACGUUUACUGAGUUUCGGAUAGUAUAAAAGUAAGUACACGAAAAUGUAGAAUUAAAAAGAAUUAUUUCAAUAUAAUAAAUAGUAGAAAUUUUAUAAUCUCUGUCAGUCUUUAGAAAUCGCUCGGUCGAGGUGGAUUGCUUUAGAGCGAAUGUUGUAUCAUUCUCUAAACUACUUUUACCUUGCUUAAAGAAUACAAAAAGUGUAAUCACUACAGAAACCUCCAGGAGGUAGUGGCUGCUCUAUUACCUGAUCCAGAAGAAAAAUAUGAUGAAGAAGAAACGGACGACGAGCAGCAGGAUAAUGUCGAGGAGCAGUUCAGACGAUGGUGCUGAAUGCGAGACCGAUAACUCGGAUCGAGAAGCGUUUGAGUAACAGGAACAGCAGGAAGACAACGAUAUAGACGAACGUUGAGAACGAAGAGCAAGUCCGUCAAAGAAAAGGCGCAGAUCGGGGAGACCGCCUUUUUACGUUCAGGCAGCAAACAUAAAAUGGUCGUUCAAAGCUUCUGAAUCACGAGAUAGAUCAAGCGAUAGUGAUCGUUUUGAAACGAUCUAUUUUUCCCAAAGUUCAGAUGCCGCGUUAAAUGUGAAUUCUCCACUUGAGGCUUGGUCGCUACUUUUUUCUGACUCGUUACUAGAAAAAGUUAUGUUGCAUACUAAUGAAUCAAUAGAAGCGUACAUUCAAACACUUAAGGACAAAGCCGAAGAUUACUUUCAAAUACAAAUGUAUUAUGGUACCUUAUAGAGUUCAAAUCAUUUAUAGGACUUUUAUGUUGGGAUACAUAAAAUAACGAUGACAGGCAUUAACCAUUCAUAGUCGCGUCACGAUUUAUCAUUAUGUCCCGGCAUAGAUUUAAAUUCUUAUUAACAAAUUUGCAUUUUGAACGAAGAUUAACUGAUAGAUUUGCAUCGAUUCGUGAAGUUUGGGAGGACUUUAUAGCUAAUUGUAUACGUUAUUACGUACCGUCUGAAAAUGUAACAAUCGACGAAGUCGAUAUAAUCGAGUUGCUCUCCUUCCGCGACAGAUGCGCUUUUCGCAUUUAUAUGAAAAAUAAAUCUGACAGAUAUGGGUUAAAAAUGGGUUAUGUUAAAUGAUUCUAAAACGUAUUAUAUGUUAAAUACGAUUCCGUAUGUAGGAUCGAUGACAAUGGAAGGCACAGAAUCCAUACCAUCAUAUCAUGUUCGAACUUAUUAUGGAAGCAAUAGAAACGUAACCUGCGACAACUGGUUUACAUGAGUUCCUCUUGCAGAGUGAAUGAAAAGCUUGCCAAUAAAGCUUUCAAUUGUAGGUACGAUUAGAAAAAAACAAGAAAGAGAUUCCUCUGAAACACAAUAAUUUCAAAACCGCGUCUGAUGUAGGGCAAUCGAAAUUUUUAUAUCACGAAGGAAAGACGUUAGUUUCAUACACACCCAAAAGAAAUAAAAUAAUGUUAUUGCUCUUCACAAAACUGCGAGAUUGAUGAGACUACAAAUAAGCUAGAAAUUAUAACUUAUUACAAUAAAACAAAAGGUGGAACAGAUGCAUUUGAUCAGUUGUGUCACGAGUACACGACGUAUCGCUUGACAUGGCUAGUUCGUAUGACCUUUCUGGUAUGACCAAGGGGUCAAUUCAAUGAUAUUAUAUAAUUUGCAAGCAAACAAUGAUAUUUUAAUGCGUUAUGAUUAUUUACUGUCUUUGGCAAUGUAACUUGUGAUGCCUUUAUUGGAGCGUCGGUACAAUACGGUACAUUUGCAAAUUCAUGUGCAACACCUUAUUGAAAAUUUUAUUGACAAGCCCAAAGAGGGACCGGUGAUUCCAACAAACUAGAUAAGAAAAAAAGAUAUUUGUUUUAUCUCUAUUUUCGUAAAACGCAAUAUAUGUGCAUGCGUUGUCGGCAACCGAUGACACAUACAUCAAAACUUUGUACUACUUGUGCUCCGUGCGAAUAAAUUUUAUUAUGUAUACAUUUAUAUAACUAAAUAAAC